AUGUGGUCCUCUCAUGUCGCAGCAGCCAACUACGAUGAUUCACUGAUCUUGCUCUCUCAUGGUCCUCUUCUUCCCUCCGAUCUCCUCGACCUGUCCGACGCCGGCGACUCCUCACCGCCCCGGGCCUUUGGAAGAAAAGUUUGGACCAUCCCUCGAUCUCCUCGCCCUGGCCGACGCCGCCAUCUCCUCAGCUUCGAGGAGAGGACGACUGUCAAGGACCGACAUUCGCCGGCGUGCAGCUUGGCGUUGGUCAGGAAGAGCACCAGCGUCAUGCCCAGGCUCAUGACCCACAGCCGGAGCUUCGUCGCCAACAGGGGCGACCCUCCUCCGCCGUCGAACAAGAUCCCCAAGAGCCCCUUCCCACAUGAGAAGAUCUCGAUGAGCUUCACGUCCGUGUGGAUCAUGAGCAGGAUGGCCAGGAAGGAGGAGCCCUCCUCGCCGGUCUCCGACGACAACGACGACGUUGGCAGCACAGCCAUGUCCUCCAAGCGGCGCCCCUUGUCGAUCGCUCGGGUGCCGUGCCGGGAAAGCUCAAUGCUCUCGGGAAGGUAUGUGAUCGUCAGAUAUUUAGAUGGGCUUUUCUCUAGGGAGCAGGCGCAGAAGGUGGCGCUUGAGGCCUUGCGCAACGCGUCGGCGACGGAGAACAUAGUUAGGAUCUACAAGUAUGUCCAGCAAUGGCACCUCUUUUUCCUAUGGCAAUUUGACACCGUCUGGACAGAGUGGCUUGUCUGCUUGAGCCCGCAUACUACGACGGCCAACUUGCUCGGUGCACGCGUCGGUUGGUCCCAGGAGGAGUGUACUGUUGAGAUCAAUGUCGGGAUCCGCAAGUACUACUAUUCAGAGUUCCCGUGGACUUUUCGUUCAGGCAAAUGA
rnacentral:rRNA from 1 species